ACUUCUGCCUGAGGGUGGCCAGGCUUUUUGAACGAUUUCAAUCUUAUGGAGUGAGCACCUGAAUUGCAAAGAUGAAGCCCCCUCUAAUCUUUUUGCAGAUAAGAGCCAAAGACACAAAAGGACAUGUCAGACUACUAAAACUAGCAGUAUCCUCCAUUUCUGCCUCUUGACAUCUUUUCCCUGGAGUAAUAAUCACUCAACAAAGAAAGAUAAGGGAAUAAUUCCAGAGUCAAGAGAAAGGAAAGUGAAUAGAGCUCCAGAUGGGAAAGCAGACGUCACCUCCCAGAGCCCUGCAAAUACAAGAGAUAGCAACUGAGAGUUUUGCUGAGGAGCAGGCCGGUACUUCCAAGGAAGAGACACGCUCCAUCAUGAUCCAAAGGCCACAUAGUUGGGCUGAGAUUCCCAUCCAGGUUUCUGCUGGAUACAAAGAAUGCCAUUGUAUUAUGUGGACUAUCUAAGAGCAUGUUGCAUUGCAGAGAUGGAAUUCUCCAGGGGCUGCCAAGACUGCUGUCAGGUGUAAUCUAACCCAUCAACAUUUUUAGGAGAAAGCAGAAUGAACAUGAAAACGGGGAUGAAGGAGAGAGAGGAACACGCACCUUUGAAGUUGUAAUUGAGCGUCUUGUCUGCUCCAUUGAAUAAAGUUCUGUAGAAAGU
rnacentral:lncRNA from 1 species